CUUGCAAGAAACAGACUAUUCAUUAAAUUUGGAGCAAUAGAAAGUCACCUUGUGAGAUAAGAUUGUUAUAUCUCUUGCUGACUUCAAAUUAUCCACAUUUCGGUCACUAUAUUAAUGAUAAUAGCAGGAUAAAACAAUGUUUCUGCUUUUAUACAUUGUAUAUUCCCAUUACUGUUUUUCAGAAGUACUUAUUAGAGGAAAAACUGCCAGAAUUUACCAUGGUCCUAAGGCAUAAUAUACUACAGCUCUGAAAGUAAUAGACAGACUCUAUGUUUAGAGUAACUGAGAUGUCUCCUCUGUUUGAUUUCUAUGGAUAUUUUAUCAUUUGGGGAGCAAAAUGGGUCAUUAUAAUUCAUUUCACAUCCUAAUUUUCAUGGCUUAAGGUAGUUUAUCUUCAAGAGUAUACAGAUUGGGCCAUCAAGAUCUGCCCAGAUAAUGGAAUAUAUAAGUCAUGUUCUUUUGUUAUUUCAUUUUAAGAGGAGUUUGUUCACUGCUGCUUCAUUCUGUGCCCUGGUUGAACACUGUUAUUGCAUACAACUCUGAAGUUAAUUUUUAUUUGCUAACUUAUUUUAUUUGCUUAUUUGUGCAGCUGUAUUAAUGGCCGAUUUCUCUUUCAAGGCCCUUGGAUCAGGAUAUUAAGGAGAAAAAAAUGGUGAACCUAGCCAACAUUCCAUCCUUCCAAUCAUCAGAGAUUAGAUAGCUCAGAUGGUUCAAGUCUCUACCAAUGAAAUCAAACUCUGGAGUUUACACCUCACUCCAAGCAUUUCUCUUUGUGCAGAAGAAAAUUGUACCAAACUCAAGGCCACCCCAGGAUGGUUGAUGCGAACAUGCAAAAUUCUACCUUCUUCCAGGCCCUUGCAAAUGCUGUUUCUUCUGCAGAAACUAUCUCCUGCCUUCCAAUUCCAGACAUGAUACCCUGUCAGUCAGUUGCCCUGCAAGACUCAACAAAAGGGUUUCCUCCCUGUAAAUGUUUUUAUGUCUCCACUCAGGAAAGAACAUCCUCUCCCUCACUUCUCUACAUUGUAUUCUAUAUGGACCACCUCAGUGAUAGCUCCGUGAGCCCUACAGAGAAAGUCAGCUACAGUGAAUAAAUAAGGCUUGGGUAACUAUUAGGGACUUUUAAGACAAAAUAUGCAUUUGACAAUGAAUUAAUUAACAUUAUGUAACACUUGAUUCAAUUGCAUUGUUUUGCAUGUAGCAUAUAUCAACCUCCCUGUAUUGCAGUGAGUCAUUCCAGAUGUAGGGAACACAUGUACUCAUCCCAUCCUUGAAUCCCACGUUCUUCCAUAAUAAGUGUUUAUUAGUAGAUGUGUGUUACAUGAAUAAAUUAAUAAAUUGGUGAAUGAAUGGAUGCGUAGAUGGUUAUGUAAAAGGAUAGAUAAAUUUCUUACCCCUUGACACACUAUUUUCCCAGAAGAUGCAAGGCUUUUAUUUAUGUUGUUAUAUUUUGCUGGGGGAUUUUCUUGUUUGUGAUUUUUCAUUCACUAUGUAAAGAAGAAAAUAGAUACCUGUGAACUGAAGCAAACCUAAAACAAAUUGCCUAAGACCAUGACCAACUUGUCUACAAUCAUAAUCAUAA
rnacentral:lncRNA from 1 species